AGAAAGAAGAUAGGACUGCUCAACAGCUGGGCACUGCCAGGGAGGGGUCAGAAGUAGAAGAAGGCCAUCAUGAUCGAAGAAAAGGACUUUUCUGCUUCUUGAUGACUGUGACACCCUAAAU